rnacentral:rRNA from 1 species
UACAGAGGGGGCAAGCGUUAAUCGGAAUUACUGGGCGUAAAGCGUGCGCAGGCGGUUUUGUAAGUCCGUCGUGAAAUCCCCGGGCUCAACCUGGGAACUGCGCUUGUGACUGCAAGGCUAGAGUACGGCAGAGGGGGGUGGAAUUCCACGUGUAGCAGUGAAAUGCGUAGAGAUGUGGAGGAACACCAAUGGCGAAGGCAGCCCCCUGGGUCGAUACUGACGCUCAUGCACGAAAGCGU